rnacentral:rRNA from 1 species
GAUGAACGCUGGCGGCGUGCCUAAUACAUGCAAGUCGAGCGAACAGAUGAGGAGCUUGCUCCUCUGACGUUAGCGGCGGACGGGUGAGUAACACGUGGAUAACCUACCUAUAAGACUGGGAUAACUUCGGGAAACCGGAGCUAAUACCGGAUAAUAUAUUGAACCGCAUGGUUCAAUAGUGAAAGACGGUUUUGCUGUCACUUAUAGAUGGAUCCGCGCCGCAUUAGCUAGUUGGUAAGGUAACGGCUUACCAAGGCAACGAUGCGUAGCCGACCUGAGAGUGUGAUCGCCCACCUGGGAAAUGAGACAGGCUCGAGACACCUGGGGGGGGCAGCAGAGGGGACUCUUCCGCAAGGGGCGAAGGCCGAACGGAGCACCGCGGGGGGAGUGAGGAAGGUCUUCGAAUCGAAAAACUUUUUUAUGGGGGAAAAAAAAAUUUGAAAUUAACUAUGCACGUCUUGAGGGUACCUAAUAAAAAAGCCACGGCAAACUCGGUC